AUUGAACCAACUCUUUUUGCAGCCACCGAAAACAACCCUUUUUUUUUAAGAGAGAGAAAGAUAACAUACUAUCAAUCUGUUUCGUUUAUUUAUUUUAAAAAUAAACUUAGCUAAAAAUGUGAAUCAAGUAGGAUUCAAACUUGGGACCCCGGGUAACAACCACCAAGUCCUUUGCGACUUGCACUAAGGACGGCCAGUCACUGAAAACAACCUUGGAACACUUGUUUAAGACUGAAAUACGGAGUUAAUCGCCAAUUUCAAUAUUUCUAUCAUCGAAAAUGAAGUAAAAGUACAAAUGACUUGCUUCUUUUAAAAGUAUUCUAACUCGACUAUUUUUGAUACAAUCGAUGG
rnacentral:lncRNA from 1 species